ensembl:lncRNA
CCAUAAUUUAGUUUAAAUGCAGACAUUGUUUCACUAAAUCUUAAAUAAAACAUUACAGUACGAUAAAUGCAAAUCAGAAGAGCUUUAAGAUUUUGUAGAAGCAGGCUACAGUUUCUUUAGAUUUUUUUUUUAUUAUUUAUUUUUAAUUCAUUCAUUUGUAUUCAUAUAUAUAUAUAUGCAUCUUAUUUCUGAAGGACCGGACAGUUAAGUAGCAGUAAACAGUAAAGAGACAUCACAGAGCUGUAAAACCUGCAGGCCAGCCAAGGAGCACAUUCUAUUACAAAACAGACCCGACAACUAGGAGACAGCACGCCACAUCCAGAUGAAAGUCUGAGCUGAUGCCGCUCCACCUUUGGGAGGCGGUGCUAGUCCCACACACACAGGAGAGGGCGCUAUUACACCAGGGCAGGUGGAGCUACACACGACCACUGAAGUGACGGCAAUGUAGUUGCACCUUCACGAGAAACGGCUUGUAUUGCACAUUCAGGGAGAAAGAAAUGGCACAUUCUGUUUCGUUUUUGUCUACAAAAAGGUUGAUAAACAGUUGAAAUGCGGCAGAAGCACAGAAGCUCCCUCAAUGGCAAUUCAACCAGUCGUUGAAACAGUCCGUCUAAAAUGCUGUCCCUCUCUACGGGGAGGGAACGUGUCAAACUGCGCCCUCUAGGGACCGUGGUCAUCCCUACGCCCAUUCUGUUUUUGCGUUUGAUUAAAUUUGAAAGUGUUUGGAUUUUACAGGGAACCACGUUAGAUGUAUACAUUUCCUGUUGCCGGCUCAGGAUGUAGCCCUUUCUCUCAGAUACUUAAAACUGCCAGCAGAAGGCGAUUUUCACUUUCCCUCCCCAUCUUGAGCAGUGCAUCCCUUUUGGCCUAUCAGGACUGAGAAUGCAUGGAAAACAAUAAAGAAAAUGACAGUGUCAGUUACAAAGGGGGGGGGGGGCUGCAGCACAGGAUGGUGGCACUGCACAAAUCAAACACGCGAAGCAUGCCGGCUGACCUCAGUCCAUUCACAAAUAAACCUCCUAAUGCAUGAAGGAAAUAAUGUUUUCUCCGGCUCAUUAUAUUGUUUAGUAAAUCUUGCACCAGAGCAACAAACUUCCACAAGCCUCAGAGUAGAAAGCUGGCCAAUGAAAGAGUCUUUCUUCAGCUUCUGACUUCAUAUUAAACAUAAAGAUAGAUUUCUGUAAAAACCGCAAGGUUUAAACUGUGCUUUUAUUUCAGCGGUUAUAAAUGCCACAGUAUAAAACGCAAACUCUUUGGUCCUACAAUCCAAAGAAAAAAAUAGCACAAAAUGCUAUCCUCAUGAUUGCAUGAGAGAUUUUAAAAAUUUUGAGGCUACCGUCUGCUUUUGCACAUUUUUGUCAUUUUGUACCAUUUGCUUGAGGCCAGAGUGCCUCAGCUGUUUAGCAAUUAGAAGUUGGCGGUUACACUGGCUUGCUUUAAAGACAAAGGGGAAAAAACAUCCAUGAAAGCUUCAGAUCUCUGCUGCGUAUUUUCCUGGGUGGGGGGGAAGGCUGAAUGUUUUGUGUCGUCACAAAAUUCCUUCUAAAUAUUCUUCCUCCGGGCAUCAGAGAACAAACGCAAGAGGAUUUGAACACACCGGCUCUGUGCAGCCCCCCUGAACAACACACAGCCUGUGGAAAAGAAGGCCAUGAGCUUCAACAGCGCUCACCUGCCAAAAAACAAGGAAACAAAUUUCCUCACAAUCAAGUUUCCAGUUACCACUCAUUGCCUUCAUCUUCAUCGGGGCAGUCCUACACAAUGGUUUUCUGGCACGGUGCUCUGCUGCUCUUGAAGCUCGUGGCCAAAGCAGUAGGGAAACAAAAUUACAAAGUGUUUUCAUCAAAAAUUGAAAAAUAAAAAUGGUAAUUUAAAAAUCUGAUCUACUGGCAACCGACACAUCAGUCUAUAUGUUAGAGGAAUCCACCGGGCUGAGAGGAAGUGUGGCACAUGGCACCCUGAAAUAAGACCAUUUCUCAGUAUUGCUGCAAUUACAGUCUUACAACUAGUCCCAACUGGCCAGAUUUUACCAUCAGCCCCAUAGAGUGUCCUCCAAAGUGUCCGGAAGCUCAUCCCGGUUAAAACUCAGAUAUGGUAGAAAAAUAUAGUUCUGAUGAAAUUUCUCUAGUAAUCCUCUUUAUUACUGAAUUGCACCCAUACAUGUAGUGUUAAUGCAUUGUAGUAGCAGUGUAAGGUGACGGGGGUCAGGAUUAGCACUACCGCUACAAGAAACAAAAUAAAAAACGAGUCACUGCGCACACACUUGCUCUCGCUCUCUUUCUCUCUAGACACUUCUGGUUUUUUAUUUAUUUAUUUAUUUUUUUUUACUUUCACUUAAAAACUCACGGUUAAUAGUUUGUCUUUCAUUGGCAUCAUUAGGCAACAGUUGUUUUUUGUGGAUUUUUUGUUUUUCAGAUAACUCUACAAUAUGGUUACGAUGUAAACACCACAGUACAUAAUUAGUUUACUUUUUCUGCACAAAGUAAAACACAAAGUUACAAGGCAAGUGGCUACUUAAGCAUAGAUUUGUUCAUGAGAGAGAGAGAGAAAACAAACAAAUAAACAAAACAAGAAAUGAGGAAACACACCACAAGAACAAAAACAACUUGCGACACCUGGCAUCGAGUUUGUUCAAAUUAAAAGGAAAAAAAAAAAGCUUUUAGACUUUGUUCAUCUACAGGUCAGGUGACCGUUUUAAAAAGCUGGUGAUGAUCAGUUCUACCUCCGAAUACAACCUUAAGUCCUAAGACAAAAGUCUUGUGAUAUUUUUGUGGCAUGAGCAGCCUUGAAACCCUCACCGGGCUGUGAUUCACACACCUCAUGCUUACCGCUUACCGUUAGCGCUCAGACUGAAUCAGAGGUGAUUGAGAGACUAAAUGCUUCUCUGCUCCAAACAACACCUGCCCAAUUUCAGGAGCUACUCGUGUGGCUUGGGUUGAGUCCUUUUCCUUUCGACAUCUGCAUAACGUUUUACCGUUUAAGUAUUCGAUAUGACAGAUCACAAGGCUUUAGCUUUUUGCAUGUCUCACUCUGUUAGAUUUGAAACCUGGACUCGGAUAAUCUCGGAUAACCACGGUGCGAGAUCUGAGAUGAUCUGAAUAUGAAAAAAUGUUAAGGUUCAUCAGCGGGCAGGGAGCCUUUGAUAUAAGGAAGUGACUCCUGCUUUCUCCAAAGUCAAAGGCAUAUGGAUGAUGAUAUGCAAACAUUUUUACUAAACUUAAUCAGUGCUUUAUUUUUUGUACAUCUGAUCAGUUUUGGCAUCUGCUGUACCUCAUUUAUCUGGCAUACAGACAUGGUGACAACAACUUACUUUGGCAUGGUUCUGCUCUCUAAAGAGCAACCUCACUCUCCCUCGCUAUCUGCGUAUCUCCUCGAGGAGGGAGCCGUUAACAAAAGAACCUUCUGUCAAUACUGUUCAAUUCACCCAGGCAAUAAAACAGUGAAUGCAACGGCAACUCUCACUUCCUCUGCUGUGAAUGGGUUUGGUAAAGCAAAACACUUUGUCCUAAUCAAUAUUCUUCUGCCAACUUCAGAAAAACCUGCCAAGUGUUCAUCGGUGGGAGUUUCCUAUGAGCCGCGGGGGUUGAAACUAACCGUGAAUUCUGACAUCAUUAUGAGGUGAAGAGG